GACGAACGCUGGCGGCGUGCUUAACACAUGCAAGUCGAGCGGAAAGGCCCUUCGGGGUACUCGAGCGGCGAACGGGUGAGUAACACGUGAGUAAUCUGCCCUUGGCUUUGGGAUAACUACCGGAAACGGUGGCUAAUACCGGAUACGACGCACUCAGGCAUCUGAUGUGUGUGGAAAGUUUUUUCGGCCAGGGAUGUGCUCGCGGCCUAUCAGCUUGUUGGUGGGGUAAUGGCCUACCAAGGCUUCGACGGGUAGCCGGCCUGAGAGGGUGACCGGCCACACUGGGACUGAGACACGGCCCAGACUCCUACGGGAGCAGCAGUGGGGAAUAUUGGACAAUGGGCGGAAGCCUGAUCCAGCAACGCCGCGUGAGGGAUGACGGCC
rnacentral:rRNA from 1 species